rnacentral:rRNA from 1 species
GACGAACGCUGGCGGCGUGCCUAAUACAUGCAAGUAGAACGCACAGUUUAUACCGUAGCUUGCUACACCAUAGACUGUGAGUUGCGAACGGGUGAGUCACGCGUAGGUAACCUGCCUGGUAGCGGGGGAUAACUAUUGGAAACGAUAGCUAAUACCGCAUAAUAUUAAUUAUUGCAUGAUAAUUAAUUGAAAGGUGCAAUUGCACCACUACCAGAUGGACCUGCGUUGUAUUAGCUAGUAGGUGAGGUAACGGCUCACCUAGGCGGCGAUACAUAGCCGACCUGGGAGGGUGAUCGGCCACACCGGGACUGAGACACGGCCCAGACUCCUACGGGAGGCAGCAGUAGGGAAUCUUCGGCAAUGGAGGAAAGUCUGACCGAGCAACGCCGCGUGAGUGAAGAAGGUUUUCGGAUCGUAAAGCUCUGUUGUAAGAGCAGAACGGGUGUGAGGGUGGAAAGUUCACACUGUGACGGUAUCUUACCAGAAAGGGACGGCUAACUACGUG